rnacentral:rRNA from 1 species
CCUACGGGUGGCUGCAGUGAGGAAUAUUGGUCAAUGGCCGGAAGGCUGAACCAGCCAAGCCGCGUGAGGGAGGAAGGCGCAGAGCGUCGCAGACCUCUUUUGCCGGGGGACAAAAGGCCGGACUCGUCCGGUCCUGAGGGUACCCGGAGAAAAAGCAUCGGCUAACUCCGUGCCAGCAGCCGCGGUAAUACGGGGGAUGCGAGCGUUAUCCGGAUUUAUUGGGUUUAAAGGGUGCGUAGGCGGACGCUUAAGUCAGCGGGAAAAUUGCGGGGCUCAACCUCGGCGAGCCGUUGAAACUGGGUGCCUUGAGUGGGCGAGAAGUACGCGGAAUGCGUGGUGUAGCGGUGAAAUGCAUAGAUAUCACGCAGAACUCCGAUUGCGAAGGCAGCGUACCGGCGCCCAACUGACGCUGAAGCACGAAGGCGUGGGUAUCGAACAGGAUUAGAUACCCUAGUAGUC